UACGGCCAUAUCACUUGGAACAUUGGUUCUCCUACGAUAACGAAAGUUAAGCAACGUUCAGUGUGGUCAGUACCUAGAUGGGUGACCGCUUGGGAAUACCGUGUGCUGUAUU